rnacentral:rRNA from 1 species
GUCUAUGGCCAUGCUACCAUGAACGAGCUGAUCCCAUCUGAUCUCGGAAGCUAAGCAGGGUCGGGCCUGGUUAGUACUUAGAUGGGAGACCACCUAGGAAGACCAGGUGCUGUAGGCG